UACGGAGGGUGCAAGCGUUAUCCGGAUUCACUGGGUUUAAAGGGUGCGUAGGUGGGUCUGUAAGUCAGUGGUGAAAUCUCCAAGCUUAACUUGGAACUGCCGUUGAUACUAUAGACCUUGAAUGCUGUGGAGGUGAGCGGAAUAUGUCAUGUAGCGGUGAAAUGCUUAGAUAUGACAUUAGAACACCAAAUUGCGAAGGCAGCUCACUACCCAGAUAUUGACACUGAGCACGAAAGCGUGGGGAUCAAACAGG
rnacentral:rRNA from 1 species